rnacentral:rRNA from 1 species
UACGGGGGGGGCAAGCGUUGUUCGGAAUUACUGGGCGUAAAGGGCUCGUAGGCGGCCAACUAAGUCAGACGUGAAAUCCCUCGGCUUAACCGGGGAACUGCCGUCUGAUACUGGAUGGCUUGAGUUUGGGAGAGGGAUGCGGAAUUCCAGGUGUAGCGGUGAAAUGCGUUGAUAUCGAUAGGAACUCCGGUGGCGAAGGCGGCAUACUGGACCACCACUGACGCUGAUGCGCGAAAGCCAGGGGAGCGAACGGG